rnacentral:rRNA from 1 species
CAGUAGGGAAGAAGCCGCAAAGGUGACGGUACCUGCAGAAGAAGCGCCGGGCUAACUACGUGCCAGCAGCCGCGGUAAUACGUAGGGCGCAAGCGUUAUCCGGAAUUAUUGGGCGUAAAGAGCUCGUAGGCGGUUUGUCGCGUCUGCUGUGAAAGACCGGGGCUCAACUCCGGUUCUGCAGUGGGUACGGGCAGACUAGAGUGCAGUAGGGGAGACUGGAAUUCCUGGUGUAGCGGUGAAAUGCGCAGAUAUCAGGAGGAACACCGAUGGCGAAGGCAGGUCUCUGGGCUGUAACUGACGCUGAGGAGCGAAAGCAUGGGGAGCGAACAGGAUUAGAUACCCUGGUAGUCCAUGCCGUAAACGUUGGGCACUAGGUGUGGGGGACAUUCCACGUUUUCCGCGCCGUAGCUAACGCAUUAAGUGCCCCGCCUGGGGAGUACGGCCGCAAGGCUAAAACUCAAAGGAAUUGACGGGGGCCCGCACAAGCGGCGGAGCAUGCGGAUUAAUUCGAUGCAACGCGAAGAACCUUACCAAGGCUUGACAUGAACCGGUAAUGCCUGGAAACAGGUGCCCCGCUUGCGGUCGGUUUACAGGUGGUGCAUGGUUGUCGUCAGCUCGUGUCGUGAGAUGUUGGGUUAAGUCCCGCAACGAGCGCAACCCUCGUUCUAUGUUGCCAGCGCGUGAUGGCGGGGACUCAUAGGAGACUGCCGGGGUCAACUCGGAGGAAGGUGGGGACGACGUCAAAUCAUCAUGCCCCUUAUGUCUUGGGCUUCACGCAUGCUACAAUGGCCGGUACAAAGGGUUGCGAUACUGUGAGGUGGAGCUAAUCCCAAAAAGCCGGUCUCAGUUCGGAUUGGGGUCUGCAACUCGACCCCAUGAAGUCGGAGUCGCUAGUAAUCGCAGAUCAGCAACGCUGCGGUGAAUACGUUCCCGGGCCUUGUACACACCGCCCGUCAAGUCACGAAAGUUGGUAACACCCGAAGCCGGUG